CUGGCUGCGAUACCUUCACAGCAAUAGAAUUAAAAAACACAGUCCAUGUACAAUUAGUCAAUUACAAACAAACAUCGAGAUCAUGUUCCCUACCUGCAAAACCUAGUUGUAGUGUUCUAUAAUAAUCUAUAAGGAUCCACGUGAGGAUCCCUCAUAUUCUCUAAAUCAACCGACAGAGACACUAUUACCAAAUUACUUAAACAGCAGACAGAACCCUCCAUCUCAUAAUACUAAAACUUUCUGAGAUCUAACAAAUGGAAACUUCCAAGACAGAGCACAUGAUUGAUAGAUUAGGGGAACUUCCCACCACUAACUUCUACUAUAUAAAGAGGAUUGCCAUUCUCCAUAGCUAUGUAGCCUUAUGUUAUAGAUUAUAAAGUUCAAGUUUCAAGGAACCAUAUCACUCUUAAUGGCUUCAGUACUUCUAAAUUGUUUGAUCUUAAUAAAUUCUUUGGUGGUCCUUACCAUGGCUGCCACACAUGUUCAGACAGUAGAAGAGCAUACUAGUUUUGGGGAUUCUCUAACUAUGACAGCAGAGCUAGCGAACCUUCGAGGUGUCAGCAAACACAGGUUCAAAUUGCUCAGUUUGUCAAUGCCUUCAGCAUUGAGUCCACAAUCCAAAUCUCAAGGUUCCACAGAGCAUGACAUUUUGAGUCCAGCACCCCAUAAAGCUGAAGAUCAUGAAGGGCUUUAUGAUGAAGGGGUUAAUUCAUCCCACCAAGCAGCUGAAGCACCUGUCAACAGGCGAAUAGGAAGCCACAAAAAGAAAAAGUCAAUUGCUGGUGGCGAAGUAAUAUUAGGUGGACUAGCACUAACCUUUGGUAUUUCAGUUUUCUGUUACCUCCGAGUCACUAGAAGGAAAGAUGGAGAGAUAGGCGCAGAGAAAGAUCGAGAUAGAUCUUCAUCUUUCUCUAUGUCACUUUCUCCCUCAGAAAGGGACUUAGAGAAAAAUGGAAAGAAAGACGGAGACAGAGACAUAGGUGAUAUCACAGAUAAAGACGGAGAUAGCAAUGUAGCAAGAAGCGAGAAAGGUGUAGAUAAUAUGGAGAGAUAAAGGAAUAAAGUUUUCAUAUGUACAUAUGUGAUAUUACAGAAUGCAGAUUUGAUACUACAAAAUUUGGCCAAGUAAUAUAUAUUGUAAAACCCUAGUAAAAGUGUUUGAUUUAAAUUAUAUUGAUUACAGAAGAACAUACUUCAACCAGAUUUUAUAAGGUAGUUCACAAAUGAAGAUUAGCCAUGCUUGUCAAGCAGCAAAACUGAAGGUUAUGACUACAGUUCCAUCCAUACAUAUAAAAUAGAAAAGUAAUAAACAUUUCAUUAGGAAUAUUUCUCAGGUUAUUACUACAUAGAAGAGAUGCCAAUGAUCUACCCCUAGAAAGUAGAACACAAGGUUCUUUGAACAUUAUCCACGUCUCUCUACUUGACAUUAUUCAGUCUGGAGAGAACAUGAUUUGCCUGGAAGGUUAUGGAAAAAGAUAGGUACUACUGGAAGUUUCAUGUAGGCUACAACAACAACUAGAACAAGACAAGUAUAGAACUUGCAAAGAAAUCAUUUAGCAAUGAACAGGUGAUUGUGAAUAGAAGACAUCCCAAAUUGUUGUAGAAUUCCAGUUCAGCUAUUUGUUCUCUAAUUUUCUGAAUGGAAAGAUAAUAACACUACAACUUGCAACUCAAUGAGAAACACAAAGCCAUAUAUAAAACAAUUAGGGAUUUAUAAAACUUUGGAAGCAAAUCCAUUACAAUGCUGAAAAUAUCACUGCAAUGAAUGACAUACAAACAGUUUGAUCACUUUCCAUCUAAAGUAGCAAUAGAUAGAUUGGGAUGGUCUUUUCCAAACUCGACUUGAUUUAAUUAAGGCAAGUAGUAUUUCCAAGCACUAACCAUUUCUUACUUGCAAUGCUUCAGAGAUCAAUUCCUGUAUUACAUACUCCACAUAUCAUCUCAUCUCAAGUCAAAGAUAUAAUCACAUCACUACAUAAGAUGUCUUUCAACAACUCACAAGCUUGUACGACUUCACCUUCACAUAUAAAUUUAAAUGCCAUAUGUAGCAAUUGCCUUAAAAUCCUUCUACUUGAUCUUUCUUAUUACCUCCUUUGCUCUGCCCUUCUUCCUAGACAUACAGAGUGCUUGCUACCAUAUUCCCUUAUACAAACAAUCAACCUAAGAGAAACACUAAAAAUAAAUAUUGUAAGUUUUAGCAUACAAGGAUUACGACAAACACCACCUCUCCCUAGUGAGCCUCUCUUGCGGUAACGCCGUGUCUAAAGUCUAAUAUAGAACUACAACAUGAGAAUGAGUACCAUCCAACUUCAUAUGGUUCAACAAACCCAAAACAUACAUCCUUCCCCACCUUCACCAAAAAGCUAACAAACUUUUUGUAAUUACUGCCAUUUGGAGAGAACUUCAUCAACUGCAUCCCAUUAAAGAAACCCACAACUUCCACCAAAGACAUAUUACUGACUUCACAAAAUGCUCAAACUAUAGAUGAAUACAAUGCUGAAUCAGGAUCGUAUUCUUACUGAGACAUCAGGCUUAUAUUCUCAACCACUUAACUAUCCUUUUAAUAAUGCAAAGAGCACCGAUUAGUAAGGUGGUGUUUGUUUUUCAUUCAGCAGUCUGAAUGACUGAACUUAAGUGGGUGGACCACCGUGUUCAGUCUUCAGACUGUUUGUUUUCUACUAACCAUUAAGUACUUAAUCUAUUUCAUCAGCUAAAAGUUCAGUUAAGUCAUUCAGACAUCAAAUUUGGCAGAAUGGAUCACUUAAUGACUGAAUGUAUUAAGUGAUUUUCAGUUAAGUGAUCACUUAACUGAAGGAAAAACAAACGAUACCUAAGUAUUAGUAAGUUGGACCCAAGACCGUAGAUUGAAAAAAGACGUCAUUUUUGCCACAACACGAGAGGGGACAAAUUAAUAUCAUAAUUGCAUUAGACUAAUAAUUUCGUCAGUGACAAACACUGAGACCUGUUCCCUAGAAAAGCCUAGUUGUGUAGCUUCCCUAUUAUAAUCUAAUCGAUACACCUGUCUCCAUCCAAUUCCCAAAAUCAACCGACAGCUACACAAAAAACAAAUUACUCGAACAGCGGAGCCUCCAUUAUGUAGUACACACAAGUGUUUGAAAUCUAACAAUUGGAAACUUCCAACAGACCACAUGUUUAAUUGGUUAUUGCAACUUGCAAAUUCUAAUAUCUAUAAAGGACUUUCAUUCUCUUAAGCCCUAUAGCCUCUACAGAGCUAGUAAUUCAAUUUUCAAAAUCUUCUACACUAAAUGGCUACCAUUCUCCUAUCAUGUUUGAUUGUAUUAGUAGAUUCUCUUGUGGUCUUAGUCAUUGCUGCCAAACAUGUUCAAACAGCAGUGGAGCCUAGGUUGGGAGAUUUUUUAACCAAGGAACCAGAACAUAAUCGAAAAGCAGAGCAACUUCCAGGUCGCAACAAGCACCAGUACAGAUUACUCAGUUUCUCACUGCCAUCAGAGUUGAGCCCAUUCAGUCCACAACAAACAUAUGCUGAAGCACCCACUGUAGGUUCCCUCGAUCAAGUAACUUUAAGUCUAUCAACCCAAAAUGCCAAAGAUAACAGUAAGCAUGUUAGAAAAGAGGUUGAUUCACUGCACCAACCAGAUUUACCUGAACCGAAAAACAAAGGAAUCGAGAUUGCCAAAGUGCCAAGUAACAGGCGAAUCGGACAACAUCACUCGAUUGAAAAGUCAAUUUUGGGAGGUGGAAUAAUUUUAGGCGGGCUUGCAACAACCUUUCUUGUUUCGGUAUUCUGUUACAUCCGAGUCACAAGAAGGCAAACAGAAGAGACAACGACAUAAGGAGUUUUUAUAUGUACAUAGGUGAUAUUACAGGAUGCAGAUUGUUACUGUAAAUGGUUGUAAGAAUAUGGCAAACACUUUUCUUAAACUAUCUGAUACUAGUUUGCUUAGAUAUGUUCAUAAAAACUUUCAAUCAUAUUAUAUAUUUGUAAAGAUAGAAAAAGAAAAAGGCAGGUCAUAAAGCAAGUCCCAUGUACAAUAAAACAUAAGAAUCAUUUUGAAAUAUUACUUUUGAGAGUGUGAGUGUGUGACCACAGGAGAAAAUACCAAGCUUCUUUAAGGGGAGCACUGGGGCACCCCUCCAAAAGCCAAGCCCCUUUACUUGGAUACUCAAGACACAUACAUUGAAAAGUUUCAGUUUUGCUUGUCUCGUUAGUUUUCAAACGAAGUUGUCUUUUUCUUGUUUCUCACUUGAAAAGAUUGGGUGGAUGUGAGGCUAACUUCAUGCCGGGUAACUUUUUAGCAUCCUAAGACUAAAAGCUAGCACAAAAUUUCCUUGGAAAGUCUCCGAAAAUGAUUGGUAAGGAGCAAAUGUUGAUAUUGGCAAGAAAAAAACACACAAAGGGAACUAAAAUUUAAGAUAACAUUUAGCUAAAAAUUACCUUAUGAAAGACAUCCCAAACUGCCAAAUAAAAAAAAUGGUUCAGCUCUCGCCCUAUUCAGAUACUUUAAGUCUUGAACCCUCAAUUACUUUUCUUUACGAGAACACUGAGGCGUACUUAUUACCUGGCAAACUGUAGACAAAGGAACAAAACUUAAGCAACUGAAAUAUAAUGACAGCAAUUAUUAUAACACAGUAACCGUAAAUAAAAAAAAUGCAAUAUUUUGAGCACUCCGCAAAUAUUUGGAAACUUAAUAUGCUUGUAUUUCCACAGCAAUUGGAAUGGCCUGUACAAAACCAGAAGUAUUACUACAAACGGAUCUAAAGCCUGGUUCUUUGUGUACAUAUGGAUUACAAAUGUCAUGGCAAUCUAAAAUGUACAGACAAUGUUAUUUUAAUUGUAUCUCAAUAAGUACCAAACUAAGUAACAGAAUUGGCAUAGUUGAGCACAUUUGAAGGGAGCUCCUGCCACAUCUCUUUGAAAAAGUGCAUCACUUCCCCCAAACAAUAUCCCUGAUUUUCUUGACGUUGAAUAAGGAUCAUACCCCUUCUGUAAUAAUCUCAAUGCCAUAAUUACCUAUCUUAAUCUUGCAGAGAGCAGUGAUUUGUCAAACGGACCCCAGAUCCUACUAACAACAUAGGAUUAUCUCUAAGUUAAUUUUACUUUUUGAGCAACUUUAAUUGGAAGUUUACUGAAUUAGUACAACUGGUCAAUGAAAUAAACAGUGAGAUCCUGUUCCCUACUUGCAAAGCUUGGUUGUGUUGUUUCUAUAUAAUCUAAUGGAUCCACAGGUGUCUCCCUCAUAUUUCCCUAAAUUGACCAACAGAAUCCCUUUUCGGCAAUAUUAAAAGUUCUCUGAUUCAACACAUGGAAACUUUCAAGAGAUCAUGGCAUGAGGUUUUAUACGUACACAGAUGAUAUUAGAAUGCACAAGGAUACUAUAAAGAUAUGCUGAUUUGAAUGUUGUGAACUUUUCUUCAGCCAACUGGUUCCGAUUCGGUUGAUUACCCUGUUUCAAAUUGUAUUAUAUAUAGUAGUUCACAAAUCAAGAUUAUCCAAUGUUGUCAAGGUGAGCAAAAGAAUUUCGAAGUUCAUAAUAAAAAAAUGUAAACCAUGUCACAAUAAAGCUUUUCAGACACUUGCCACAGGGAGAAUGCUAAGGAGUACUAUAUAGUUGUCUCUCAGAGGGACACUACUGCUCUUUGAAGGGUUUGAUGUCGCGUAGCAUUUCUCAGGCUGGAAAUUAUUACUAUAUUUUGCAUGGGCUAUAUGAAAAACUGGUUGGUGCAGAGAAAACUAUAAUAUU
rnacentral:lncRNA from 1 species